rnacentral:rRNA from 1 species
UGAUUUGUUGGACGCUAGCGGCGGAUGGGUGAGUAACACGUGGGCAAUCUGCCCUAAAGACUGGGAUACCACUUGGAAACAGGUGCUAAUACCGGAUAACAACAUGAAUCGCAUGAUUCAAGUUUGAAAGGCGGCGUAAGCUGUCACUUUAGGAUGAGCCCGCGGCGCAUUAGCUAGUUGGUGGGGUAAAGGCCUACCAAGGCAAUGAUGCGUAGCCGAGUUGAGAGACUGAUCGGCCACAUUGGGACUGAGACACGGCCCAAACUCCUACGGGAGGCAGCAGUAGGGAAUCUUCCACAAUGGACGCAAGUCUGAUGGAGCAACGCCGCGUGAGUGAAGAAGGUUUUCGGAUCGUAAAGCUCUGUUGUUGGUGAAGAAGGAUAGAGGCAGUAACUGGUCUUUAUUUGACGGUAAUCAACCAGAAAGUCACGGCUAACUACGUGCCAGCAGCCGCGGUAAUACGUAGGUGGCAAGCGUUGUCCGGAUUUAUUGGGCGUAAAGCGAGCGCAGGCGGAAUGAUAAGUCUGAUGUGAAAGCCCACGG